UACGAAGGGGGCUAGCGUUGCUCGGAAUCACUGGGCGUAAAGCGCACGUAGGCGGAUUGUUAAGUCAGGGGUGAAAUCCUGGAGCUCAACUCCAGAACUGCCUUUGAUACUGGCGAUCUCGAGUCCGGGAGAGGUGAGUGGAACUGCGAGUGUAGAGGUGAAAUUCGUAGAUAUUCGCAAGAACACCAGUGGCGAAAGCGGCUCACUGGCCCGGUACUGACGCUGAGGUGCGAAAGCGUGGGGAGCAAACAGG
rnacentral:rRNA from 1 species